CCAACCUCUUUUCUUCUGACUGGUGUAAAGUCUGGGUGCUGGAUUUUGGGUGUAAUUCUCCAUUCAUAGUAAGUGGUUUCUGGGUUUUGAAAUCCAUGGCGACCCUUGGCCAGGUUAUUAUUCCAGGUUGGUACCUGAUAACUGGAAGGACAUAUGUGUUGAUGGCUUGGAUCUUGUUAUUGUCAUUGAGCUGGAACUUCAGGACCUGUCUG